rfam:Blautia hydrogenotrophica CAG:147 genomic scaffold, scf300
AAAAUGAAUAGAGGCUUUGGUUAGGUUUUGAUACCUAUUUAACGGAAUCUGGUGAGAAUCCAGAACAGCCUAUCUCUACNNNNNAUCCAGAACAGCCUAUCUCUACUGUAAGAGGGACGAACGGACGAUAUGCCACUGGAGGAUACUCUGGGAAGGCGUUCUAGUAGGAAGAACUUAAGUCAGGAUACAUAAAAAAGCCUAGGGGAAAAC